UGCUAGAUCAACGGCAUAAAUUUCCUUUUCCUAGCCUCCGUAAGAACUGGAAAAAUUCUUUUAAAAUAUUCAUAGGAUAAUCUAGCUUUCUUGAGUGGAUUACAGAUAGCCUAAUGUCGUAGAUGACAUUAAGAUUUACUGCUGUGUGCGUAGUGAAAGGCACAUGAUCUGGUAGCAGUAUUCACGAGUAAGUCCUCCGCCCGAUAUCUGCAAUAGGUUGAUCGAUUCUGUUUCAAGGAAAGGUGGCCGUGCUGACGAUUGUGCCCGUGGCUGCGUGCCCGGCAGCUUCAAUGACUGCUACUGCAUGCACUGCGGAUGCAUCAACAAGCUGACUUCCCCCGGACCUUUUCAACUAUUGGACGCCACCAGUGCUUUUUGGCCGGACAUCCCACGAAAGCUGGCAACCUGUACCUACAUCUACCGCUUCCGCUAUCAGUCGUGGCCUCAGACUACAUAAGGAUUCCUCGGCGAGCACUUCACUGGGGCACAACACCGCUGCAGGAAUGGCGCACUCACCCUUAAUAAUGUUUCAGGUACCUGGAGCUCUCAGCUGAGCCAGUUGGAAUAUCUGCACCCAGGUGAUUGGAACCAGCCGCGGUGGCUCAGUGGCUGCACGGUGUUGUUGUGAUCGACCGUUCACCCAGCGACAACUUCCGGUCACGGCUAGCACGAUUAUGGGGGACCGGCCGACGGCCCCGUCAAAAUGGUUCUCAAACGAAUGAUUUAUGGUCAGCACGGGAUUGCCUCGGUCAGGAGAGGUUUGGGCAAUUAGGAAGGAUACGGUCCAUCCCCUGUCAGCCGCCCCAAACUGGCACGUCCACGCCGGGGACGGAGUCAGUGGACAAGCGGUGUCAGUGGACAAGCGGAGUGUUGGUGCCCAGGGAUGUGCGUGCGUUUCCGACAAAGCUCCCUUCGGAGGGAAAGGGCAACAGACCUCCGGAUUGGUGGUACCUGAUGUCAUCGGUCUCCUGACGUCGGAUUGAGGGAAGGGACUGAACAAUGACCACGCAGGGCAUAAAAAGAGCGACGGACGGCGGGAGUGAUGGGCUGCUACAACUUCUUCAUGAACUGAACCGUAAUGACUCGGACGUUAUUAAUAUCGUAGGUUAUAAUCCAGCUUAUUUAAAUAAAAAAAUAAGGACAGGAGGUGGCGAUUGUAUUUAUGUGAAACAUGAGAUGAGAUACGAAUGGCUUAACGAGUGGUCUCAAUGCACGCAUGAUAUUGAAAUUGUAUGUCUUAAAGUAGAAAACUGUGUGUUGAAGUAUACAGACCACCCGAUGGCAGCAUAAACAAUAUUAUACGGUUUUUAGAUAACAUAUUGACACGUGUGCUUGCUUAUCUUUAUCGGGCGACCAUGUUUCACCGCCUAACAACUGUUAUCGCACAACGCAGGACGCGCCUGCAUGUAUCGGAAGUUUCUGGAAUGUUAUCGAUGGCUCUAUCUAAUGUCUGUCACCGAACCUUGUGUUAUCUGAUUGCAUGUAUGCGCGAUGCGAAUAGUGUAGAACUUUGUGGAAGACACGCGGGUCCCAGGGAUUAAUCUGGAACAUUCGACGACUGAUGUAUAAAAGUCGACGCGCUUGACCCACUGAUCAGAUUUUCGACGAUGGCCGACUGUGUUCGCCGCUAUCGUUCUUUGAGUGUAGCCUGCUUUUGAGGGCACAAGUUCACCCAAUAAAACGCUAGUUUCUUUAA